rnacentral:rRNA from 1 species
UACGAAGGGGGCUAGCGUUGCUCGGAAUCACUGGGCGUAAAGGGCGCGUAGGCGGCCAUUCAAGUCGGGGGGUGAAAGCCUGUGGCUCAACCACAGAAUUGCCUUCGAUACUGUUUGGCUUGAGUUUGGUAGAGGUUGGUGGAACUGCGAGUGUAGAGGUGAAAUUCGUAGAUAUUCGCAAGAACACCAGUGGCGAAGGCGGCCAACUGGACCAAUACUGACGCUGA